GGAAAUGUGCCUGAACCGUAAAAGGGCCACUUUGAUAGAGUGAAACAUGGAAGUUAAAAUCUCCCCAUUUCCU
rnacentral:tRNA from 1 species